AAGUGCAAGAAACUGACAUGUUUUACUUUGUAAGCAGCACUUCAUCACUGUAGUCUGGGAUACAGGUUUGAUCUUAAUGUAACAUUUCAUGAAGUCUUCCAAAGGAGUCACACCCAUGGAUUUCCUGAUGCCAACCAAAUACAACUCAGAAACACCGAAGCCAAGGAAGAGGUGGCCAUCAUCACCAUGGUAACGUACGGAUGCUACCCUUCGGUCAACAUCCUCCAGGAGUCAUCUCGUCAGUCCGUCCAUUCAUCCGUUUCAGUCGUUCUGUCCAUCCAUGAAACCCUUGCCCGUCGACGUCGAGAAGGAUGCGAGAUGCAGCGAGCCGUGAUGACGACGACGAGCGUGAGUGGCGAGUGUUCCUUGGUUCUCUGGGGGAUGCGAGAGAGCAUGAUCAAUUCUCAGACAUGUUCCUCCACUCAAGAUCUCAGGGGUGCAGGGUGAGAAAUGUGGCACCAGUCUGAAGAGGCCAUCAGAUAGUGGCCUUUCGGAGCUUGUGGACACCAUUAUGACCAUUGAACAAAGAAAGCAAUGGGAGAUAAGCCUUAAAGGAAUGAAUUAUGGGGUGUGUGAACUUAUACUAUCAUUUUGUAAACUAUUAUAAAGUGUAUUUAAUCUAGAGAAUCAACGACACAAAGUGAUAAUAGGAGAUAUUGAGCUGGUUUGGAGCUCAUGAAGUAAUAAGCAGGAGAAAUCUAAUUACCCUAUCCAAAAAAAAUGUACUUCUGACAAAAUGAUGGAUCAAUCGUGACUCAUGCUUGAAAAUAUAGACUGGAAAGCAGAUUCUUUAUGAGCAUCAUCUCGAGGAAAAAUAUUGUUUUAUCCUAGAAUUUUUCAGUGAAUCUAUAUGAUACAGUGAAUAUCUAUUAUUCAAGUGAAUAGCAAAUCUUCAAUAUUAGAUCUUUAAUACCGCUCGAUGCAACUGCACGGUUUUCACCCCAACACACAGUGAUCGCCAGAGCCUUUGUGUUUCACCUCGCUUUAUAAUGCAUGGAUCAAGCGAUGCACUUGCCAUCUCUGGUGAAAGCUUUUCAAUAUCAAGGGCACGUUUCCUUCUAUAAAGAGAAAGCUUUCACUUUUUUUAUGGAUGUCGGGAAUAUUGCUGUUGGAAUCAGAAUGAAUCAACCACCAUGUCAAAAAAAAAAGAAAUGCUGCUUUCCGUGUGCUUCCUCCAAAGAGGAUUUACUUCGAGCAACUCAACAUUCGCAAUCUCCCUCCACCAAGUUAUGUACAUCCUGGAUACUGUCAUCGCAACGAUCAUCAAGAUAUUGUCAACAUCGCUUUCAACAUGCCUUGUGUUUUAAUCUCUCUCUCUUUUCUUCAUUUUUUUGCUGAACACUGUUCUAUUUUUUACAAACAUGCUGAAGUGUGAAUUGUAGCAUGUGAAUUUAUCUUUUUUAUCUUGCUUGUAAUCUGUCCUUUUAAUGUUUUUUUUAAAUAAUUGUUUAUAUGUUUCUGUAAGUGUGUGUUGGUUUUCCUGUUGAAGUACCUUUACAACUAUGUUUUUUGGCUAUACAUGUUGUUAUUCCAUCUGUGAUGCAAACGAUACUGCACAACCUCUUUGAAAGUAUUUCUAUUCUUGCGAUGCGUUGCAGAAUCAGUAACAAGUUCCCUCAAGAAAGUCAUUUUGUUGUUUGAUAUUGAUGGUAGAACAGUCUAUUAAUGACCUUCUUGAUAUAACCAUGUAUUACUUGCACUUCGAAACCUGAGCUUUGAUUAAAAGAAAAUACUAUUAAAGAAAGAAGCUAUCACAAUUUGCACAGCUUUGAAAGUAUUUCGAUAGUGAUUUCAGCCAUGUGCAGCAUUUUCGUGAGCUCACAAAAUCUUAUUUUGAUAAAUGUUCCU